GCCGCUCUCAUACAGGCAGCUCCACCCUCCACCCACAUGGCGCCGGGGACCAGCCACUCCCUCUCCCCUCAUGUCGUGCCUUUCCAUCCCAAGGGCCGUUCCAAGGAACGACAUUUGUCUGAGUCGAGCCCGGCGGCGUCGGAUGACGGGCUUGCCAUGGUGGCGGCCAGCAAUGCUAGGCCGAUGGCUCAUUCAACGACUAAUCGUAGUGCUAGCAAAUCAUAUAAGGAGAUUCUCAGCGCGGCAUUGGACAAGGAUGCUUCCCCCACCAAACCAGUGUGGGAGUCAACUGCUUGGUAACAGCAUCCCUUAAAGGCUCAAGAACAAA
rnacentral:misc_RNA from 1 species